rnacentral:rRNA from 1 species
UACGUAGGGGGCAAGCGUUGUCCGGAUUUAUUGGGCGUAAAGAGCGUGUAGGCGGCCUGGAAGGUCAGCUGUGAAAACUCGAGGCUCAACCUCGAGACGUCGGUUGAAACCACCUGGCUAGAGUCCGGAAGAGGAGAGUGGAAUUCCCGGUGUAGCGGUGAAAUGCGCAGAUAUCAGGAGGAACACCGGUGGCGAAGGCGGGUCUCUGGGCCGAUACUGACGCUGGAGGAGCGAAAAGCGUGGGGAGCGAACAGG